UAUUAAAAGUAAUAAUUGAAAAUUAAUUGAUUGAUAAUGAGACAAUUUAAAAUUUAUUUCAUAAAUGAUAUGUCAUCAGCAUACAAUAUAGCGUAUCUUGACGCAAAUUUGAAAUCAUACCGGUUCGUGGAGCACUGGAAGAAAAAAAAAAUAUGUCGUUUUAUGAAAUAUUGGGAAAAGAAAUUGCUCAUUCGCUACAUCAAAUAUAAUGGUAAUCUCUCUGAUUGGAAAAGGGCUUAAAAAUGUAAAAAAUAGAAAAAAACAGUAGUUUCAGAGACUGGUUUAAUACACUCUUAUAUAUACCGUAGAUAUCAUUGACACUGUUGAACCAUCGCAUAUGUUAGAAAGUAGAUUUUUUAUUUUUGCUUUGUUUAAAUAAAACCUCAUCAUUCGACGAUUAAAACAAAUUUAAAAUGUUGAUAAAAUGAAUGCUUUUUGCAUAAUUUAUUGAUCUAUAGGUGUCUAUAUUAUUUUAGAUUUUAUGUCUGUUUUAAGUAUCAUUUUGUGAUUAGUUCCCG
rnacentral:lncRNA from 1 species